UAAUUAAACCUGCUAUGUCCUUUUAAUUAAAAUCAACACAAACCUCAACCGACAGGUUAAUGUCAAUCACCGAAUUUUCAAGACUAGAUGGCGUCGCGACAGAUACAAUAAUGUCCCCCAAUAGCAGCAAAAAAAUGUUGUAAUAAAAAAAUACAUUUUUAUAAAAAAACAAUAUUUUUCUGUUAUUUUAUGAAAAUUUAAUGAUAUAUAGAUAAAAUAAUUUAUUCAAUAAUAUAAUAUUUAAUGAUAUAUUAUUGUUUUCAUAAUAUAUCGAAUCAAUUAUCGAUCGAUAUGGGAGAGAUCGAUUUGAAUCAUAUAUUUUAAUUUACACAUACUUUCUAUUUUUAUAGAAAAAUAAUUAUAAUUUGUGAAACAAUGAACAAAGAACAAAGAACAAAUGAACAAAGUACAAAUUAAAAUGCUAAAUGAUAAUAACUAUAAAAUUAUUAUUUCUUGACAUUCAUAUAGGCAAAUAAUUUUUUUUAUUUACAAAUAUCACGCACUUUUAAUUUACCGAAUUAAAUGUAAUUUGCCGUUUUUCGCAUUGAGAGCGUGACGCAACGCAUGAAAAACCGGUAACGUAAAUUGUACAGAAAAACCGUAUAUAUUCAUAUCAUAUUUAUUAAUAACUUGAAAUACAAAAAGAAUAUUUGGCGAGAAUUUAGCGAAUUAUUGAAUAAUUCGUAAUUUAACAGCUCAUUCGCACGCAGCUCAAUCUUUUAAUCAUUAAUAAUAUUUUGUGCAUGUAAUGUUACUUCAAGAAUCUCGAAAUAACUGCUUCGAUAUAUAAUGGAUCGUUGUUACAAAUAUUUAAUGGUAUAAACUAAUUCCGCUUAUUGUGAUAUCAAAAAUAUAAGGUUGUAACGAAACUCUAUGAAAUAAAGAAAACAAUAAAGUUUACUUAUCAGACAAUAUAUAAAAUGUAAAAUAGAUUAUUUGGCGUUUACUUAUUUCUACAAUAUCUAUGGCCAUGCCUAGAAUACCGACGCAUAUUACACGUCAAAUAUUUUGGUAAAAAAACUUGCUCAAGUAUCCAUAUCCCUUUGCUUCACAGUGAUAGCCUGAUAUAUGGUCAGCAUUCGUUUUUUUUUCUUUUUUAAGCAAAUUAAAGUUUGCAUAGAGGUUCAGAAGAAAUCUUCCCUCCCAUGGGUACGACCUUGUCGUGGUGGGAGGGCUCAGUACCCCGAGGGCUUGAAUGCCUGUGGGGGAAGCUAACUGUACCCAUUGCACUUAUUAAGUUUGUUUUUUAUUCCUGCACUGCUACACUAGUGCAAUAAGUAAGAAUGAGAAAAAAUAUAUUUGUCUUAUUCUAACUUAUUGCACCAGUGCAGCAGUGCAGGAAUAAAAAACAAACCUAUUACGUCGUUGAUCGUAAAAUUAUGGUUCGUCGCGCCGUGUUAACGCGGUUCGGGAGUGCCGACCGAUUGAAUUGAAAACGAACCGUAGUCGGCUCGUCGUGUCGCGCGUUUGCUUCGGGAGUGUCGUUCAAGUAAAUGGACUAAAAGAGCUGUCUAGUCCUAGUCUAAUUAGUUCUACGCGCGAUCGUAGUAUAUUCGGUUAUUCGCGAGUGUCCUGUGCAACGAGAGGAGGAGGAGGCCUGGGAAAGGCAUUGGGCCCCGGCAGAGCAACUUUGGGAAUCAUCGUAGCGACGUUGCUGAAUAUCUCUGCCGCUGCGCAUCGAUCGGUGAGUGAUGAAUAAACUUUUAAAAUUGGAGUAAUAGAUCUCUGUGAUAAAAUUGUACUUCAUAUAUAAUGUAGAAUUGUACUUCAUAUAUAAUGUAGAAAUGUUUGCUAUAAUGCUGUAAUAAUAAAUAACAUUUAGAUAUCAUAUUUAUUUCAUGGAUCUAUUGCUUUAAAGUGGAUUGACUAAAACAGAUCAGGAUUUAACAUUUAAUCCUGAAUGAAUGAUAUACAUUAACUUAUCAUGCAUAUUUAAUUUAUUAAAUAAUUUUUUUUCGACACCGUCGCAGUCUCGGCGAGGGUUAGGUAUGUGUUCAACAUCAUCAAAUAUAAAUUACAAGUAUAAUAAAAAAUAUAUAAUGUAUCUUGCACGUAUGCGCACAAUUAGAAACUGCGUGCCGUUUCGUCUCUGAUAAAUUCCGUCAAAUAACUAAAAUAGAAUAAAAUAAAUGCCGAUCAACUAAAUUUAACUAUAAACUUGAAAUGUUUUAAAUUCCCUUUUAAAAUUUUAUUUCUUUCUGGGGUAAUAACAGCCGCUAUAAUUAAUCAUACGAAUAGGUAGAAAUAUUAAUAUAUAGAAAUAUGUAAAAAAUAAAUAGGUAUUAGAAAAUAGAUAGAAAACGGAUAAGCAGAUUACUCUAUGUAAAUAGAUAUACGAAAAAAUUAUGUAAUUCAACGUGUAAAUGCUUUUUUUAAUUUUAUAGAAACAAUCUGUGUAAUUAAAAAUUAUAUGAUUGUUGUUGUUAUGAUGUUAUGUAAUUAAAAAUUAUAUACUAAUGCCCGAUAUAUUACAGGAAAUCAGAGCAUGAUAUACGAUAAUACAUUACAAUUUAUUAAAUUAGCAUGUUAAAUUUAUAUACUUUUUACUUUAUAUUUUUGAAAUAUUUUAAUGUUUGUUCUUAAUUUUCUUCUAAUUUUGUUUCUAAACUUUCAUUCUUUUUUUAUAUCUUUAUUCUUCAAUACCAGAAUAUUUAAUACAAAUGGUGAAUUUUAAUAUUGUUGUAUUUAUUUCGUCGCUUUUAUGUAAUGUGAUGAAAAUAUAUUGUAAAAUGUAUUGUAAAAUAUUUUAUAAUUUGUAAUUUAUUAAUUUUAUUUUCAAUAUUUGAUAUGAUAUAAAUUCUAACUUAUAUAAAUUGUAAUAAAUAUAUUGUAAAAUUAUACUUUAUACUGUAAAAUUAUUCUUUAUGCAUCUGCUGUAAAUUUAUUUUACUAUGUUGUAUUAUUGAAUUAUGUAACAAACAAUAACAAUAAAAUAAAGAAAACACAUUUAAAGAAAAGAGGACCGUCGACUAAGAAUCGACGGGGGGUGGUGGAGGGCCUCUACAGGUUGAUCCGUUUUUACCGAGUAAAAUUUUAAUUAUAAAUUACAUUAAAAACAUAAUCUUUAGUUAAGAAAAUGUUAUCAUUUAUCCUGUAAAAUUUCAUUUGGUAAAAACAGAUCAAAUUUAACCAAAAUAUAUUCAAUCACAAUAAUAUACGGUAAAAA
rnacentral:lncRNA from 1 species